UACGUAGGGACCAAGCGUUGUUCGGAUUUACUGGGCGUAAAGGGCGCGUAGGCGGCGUGACAAGUCACUUGUGAAAUCUCUGGGCUUAACCCAGAACGGCCAAGUGAAGCUGUUGUGCUAGAGUGCAGAAGGGGCAAUCGGAAUUCUCGGUGUAGCGGUGAAAUGCGUAGAUAUCGAGAGGAACACCAGAGGUGAAGACGGGUUGCUGGGCUGACACUGACGCUGAGGCGCGAAAGCCAGGGGAGCAAACGGG
rnacentral:rRNA from 1 species